UCGGUCAGGGAUGAGCUCGCGGCCUAUCAGCUAGUUGGUGAGGUAAUGGCUCACCAAGGCGUCGACGGGUAGCCGGCCUGAGAGGGUGACCGGCCACACUGGGACUGAGACACGGCCCAG
rnacentral:rRNA from 1 species